UGCCAGCAGCCGCGGUAAUACAGAGGUGGCAAGCGUUGUUCGGUAUCACUGGGCUUAAAGGGCGCGUAGGCGGCGCGAUACGGUCUGGGUGAAAUCCCUCGGCUCAACCGAGGAAUUGCCUGGGCAACGGUCGUGCUAGACAGCAUCAGGGGAAGGUGGAACUCGCGGUGGAGCGGUGAAAUGCGUAGAUAUCGCGAGGAACGCCGGUGGCGAAAGCGACCUUCUGGGGGGCGUGUGACGCUGAGGCGCGAAAGCUAGGGGAGCGAACGGGAUUAGAUA
rnacentral:rRNA from 1 species